UACAGAGAAGAGAUUGUGCGGUACCU
rnacentral:piRNA from 1 species